rnacentral:rRNA from 1 species
UACUAGAGUAGCACUCGCAUAUCAAUAAGCGGAGGAAAAGAAACUAACAAGGAUUCCCCUAGUAACGGCGAGUGAAGCGGGAAGAGCUCAAAUUUGAAAUCUUAAAGGGUUUCCCUUUACGAAUUGUAGUUUAAAGAAGUGUUUUCUGUUGAGGUUUUGGUAAAAGUUCUUUGGAAUAGGACAUCAUAGAGGGUGAGAAUCCCGUAUUUGACCUUUACUUUCAACUUUGUGAUACACUUUCAAAGAGUCGGAUUGUUUGGGAAUGCAGUCCAAAAUGGGUGGUAAAUUUCAUCUAAAGCUAAAUAUUGGCGAGAGACCGAUAGCGAACAAGUACCGUGAGGGAAAGAUGAAAAGAACUUUGAAAAGAGAGUUAAACAGUACGUGAAAUUGUCAAAAGGGAAGCGUUUGACACCAGUGUUGUUUUUCUGAAAAUCAAUUAAAGAACUGUUUAUGCUAAGCUGUUUAGACUUUAUCAGCUAUCUGUUUAGUUUUGAGCUUUUCUUUAAUGCACUUUUCAGUUAACAAGUCAACAUCAAUUUCUUUUGCUGUAAAAAAGUAUCUAUGAGGAAGGUGGCUUGAGAUUCGUCUUAAGUGUUUAUAGCCUCUUGCCUAUGCAGUCGGAGAGAUUGAGGUCUGCAGCGUAGAUCCUUCGGGGCUAAAUGCAUUUGUGCUAAGUUAUAGCAUUUUAUAGACAACUUGUUGACUACGAUUUGUCUUGUAGCUUACUCGCUUAUGUUAUUUUACCUACGCUUAGGAUGUUGAGCGCAUGUCUCUCUCU